rfam:Paracoccidioides sp. &apos;lutzii&apos; Pb01 unplaced genomic scaffold supercont2.2, whole genome shotgun sequence.
GUCUCCGUGGCGCAAUCGGUUAGCGCGUUCGACUGUUAAUUGAGAGGUUGGAAGUUCGAGCCUUCCCGGGGACG